rnacentral:rRNA from 1 species
CCACCCUACGGGAGGCAGCGGUGGGGAAUAUUGCACAAUGGGCGAAAGCCUGAUGCAGCAACGCCGCGUGAAGGAAGAAGGGUUUCGGCUCGUAAACUUCUAUCAACAGGGACGAAAGAAAUGACGGUACCUGAAUAAGAAGCCCCGGCUAACUACGUGCCAGCAGCCGCGGUAAUACGUAGGGGGCAAGCGUUAUACGGAGCUACUGGGUGUAAAGGGUGAGUAGGCGGCAUGGUAAGCC